ensembl:snoRNA
AUCCUUUUGUAGUUCAUAAGCACAAUGAUUGAGUUUUCAUGCUCAUGUGUGAGAUAUGCCUCACUCCAAUCUUGUUACACUGUUAGCACCGUUACCUAUCUGACA